rnacentral:miRNA from 1 species
UCUUGAGAAGUAAAGAACGAC